GAUUUUCUAACUAACUAUGUUUUUGAUUUUCACAGUACUCUUAAUUUUGAGCUAUUUACUGAUUUACCAACUGCAGCUAGGAGACCUUUAAACAUGGAUAAAAUGCAUCUGCCAAGCUUCAGAUUUAAGACAGUAAUUCCAAGGGAGCCAGAUUAAAGCAUGCAAUUCAUAAGUCCAAAUGUAGCAACACUGAAAGCUGCAGAUCAUUGUUGACAGGAAUAUCAAGGUAGAGCCUGUUGGAAGAAUCUCCUUAGUGAUAGAGGAUAAGUACAGAUAAACUGUCAUAUUCAAAUAUUUUCAUAUUCAAGUUCAGGAGACUCAGAUUAUAGACAGCUUUGGCUAGCAUAAAAAGUCUGAUGUUGCACAAUUGCAAGUUGGAAGGAUACUUCUUUUGGCAUUUGAUUACAUAGUACCUGGUGAGAGCUUGAGGUGACUGAAAUGGAAUCAAGCCAAGGCUUGAAAUGGUCAUGCAUUCAUUAGGCUAGAUAUAGCUACUUAGGAUGUUUUACCUUUGAUUUCUAGGCACUUUUGGCCUUGUAACCUUUUUUACUUUUGUUUUUUUGCUUUCUUUCCAAUUCUGUACAUAACUUUUUUAAUAAAAUUCACAACUAUGCCUAGUUCUA